UACAGAGGUCUCAAGCGUUGUUCGGAUUCAUUGGGCGUAAAGGGUGCGUAGGCGGCGCGGUAAGUCGGGUGUGAAAGCCCUCAGCUCAACUGAGGAAGUGCGCCCGAAACUGCAGAGCUUGAGUGCCGGAGAGGGUGGCGGAAUUCCCCAAGUAGAGGUGAAAUGCGCAGAUAUCGGGAAGAACACCCGUGGCGAAGGCGGUUCUCUGGGACGGUACUGACGCUGA
rnacentral:rRNA from 1 species